GCCGAGGUGGUGAAAUUUGGCUAGACACGCAGCGUUCAGGGCGCUGUGAGAGAAAUCUCAUGUGGGUUCGAAUCCCACCCUCGGCA
rnacentral:tRNA from 4 species